GAUGAACGCUGGCGGCGUGCCUAAUACAUGCAAGUCGAGCGGACCAAAGAGAGCUUGCUCUCUGAGGUUAGCGGCGGACGGGUGAGUAACACGUGGGUAACCUGCCUGUAAGACGGGGAUAACUUCGGGAAACCGAAGCUAAUACCGGAUGAUAAAGAGAAACGCCUGUUUCUCUUUUGAAAGUCGGCCUUGCGCUGACGCUUACAGAUGGGCCCGCGGCGCAUUAGCUAGUUGGUGAGGUAACGGCUCACCAAGGCGACGAUGCGUAGCCGACCUGAGAGGGUGAUCGGCCACACUGGGACUGAGACACGGCCCAGACUCCUACGGGAGGCAGCAGUAGGGAAUCUUCGGCAAUGGACGAAAGUCUGACCGAGCAACGCCGCGUGAGCGAUGAAGGCCUUCGGGUCGUAAAGCUCUGUUGUCAGAGAAGAACAAGUACCGGAGUAACUGCCGGUACCUUGACGGUACCUGACCAGAAAGCCACGGCUAACUACGUGCCAGCAGCCGCGGUAACAC
rnacentral:rRNA from 1 species